GGACUACUGGGGUAUCUAAUCCCGUUCGCUCCCCUGGCUUUCGUUCCUCAGCGUCAGAUAACCCCCAGUGAGCCGCCUUCGCCUCCGGUAUUCCUGAUGAUAUCAACGCAUUUCACCGCUCCACCAUCAGUUCUGCUCACCUCUAGGUUCCUCAAGCACGGCAGUUUAGAGCGCAAUUCCUCGGUUGAGCCGAGGGCUUUCACACCCUACUUUCCGCGCCGCCUACGAACUCUUUAAGCCCAGUAAUUCCGAAUAACGUUUGGGCCUCUCGUAUUACCGCGGCUGCUGGCAC
rnacentral:rRNA from 3 species